GAAUUCGACUUUUAUCUUAGUUCUGUUACUUUGGUAUAUCAUGAUACCUGCUUCUGUCUCAUCGAAAGGAAUUUUCGAAUUUAAACCUCUUGCAUAUGGCAGUUGGCAGUACGGAUAAUUGCUACCGAGAAAUUAAAAUCAUGAUGGAAGGCAAAUGCCUAAGGGAGUUGAAACAGUCCGAAUAGGAACGCGAAUGGAUGGACAAAUGGAUAAAACCAUUUAGGAUGAUUAAAGAUUUAUGCGAAUAA